GGAAGCCUACCUCAAGAUAAGAUUUCCCCGAGGCUUUAUGCCUCCUAAAGAGCCGUUGAAGACUACGACGUUGAUAGGUUGGAUGUGGAAGCAUAGCGAUAUGUGAAGCUGACCAAUACUAAUUGCUCGUGAGGCUUGACUAUACAACACCCAAACAGUUGGG
rnacentral:rRNA from 1 species